rnacentral:rRNA from 1 species
GGAAUAUUGCAAAUGGGCGAACGCCUGAUGUAGCAACGCCGCGUGUGCGAUGAAGGUCUUCGGAUUGUAAAGCACUUUUUGGAGGGAUGAGGAAGGACAGUACCUCCAGAAUAAGCCUCGGCUAACUACGUGCCAGCAGCCGCGGUAACACGUAGGAGGCAAGCGUCAUUCGGCUUUGCUGGGCGUAAAGCGCGUGCAGGCGGUUUGGGAAGAUGGAUGUGAAAGCUCCUGGCUCACAUGGGAGAGGUCGUUCAAAAC